AUACGGAGGAUCCGAGCGUUAUCCGGAUUUAUUGGGUUUAAAGGGUGCGCAGGCGGCCAUUUAAGUCAGCGGUUAAAUCGUGGGGCUCAACCCCAUUCUGCCGUUGAUACUGGGUGGCUUGAUUGCGGUCGAGGUUGGCGGAAUUCGUUGUGUAGCGGUGAAAUGCAUAGAUAUGACGAAGAACACCGAUUGCGUAGGCAGCUGACCAGACCGCAAAUGACGCUCAUGCACGAAAGUGCGGGGAUCGAACAGGAUUAGAUACCCUGGUAGUCCGCACAGUAAACGAUGAAUCCUUGAUUUCGGCGAUAUAACGUCGGAGGCCAAGCGAACGCUAUAAGUAUUCCACCUGGGGAGUACGCCGGCAACGGUGAAACUCAAAGGAAUUGACGGGG
rnacentral:rRNA from 1 species